rnacentral:rRNA from 1 species
CCCUUAGAUGUUCUGGGCUGCACGCGCGCUACACUGAUGCGCUCAACGAGUUUUAACCUUGCCUGGAAAGGUUGGGUAAUCUUUUUAAAACGCAUCGUGAUGGGGAUAGAUUAUUGCAAUUAUUAAUCUUCAACGAGGAAUUCCUAGUAAGCGCGAGUCAUCAGCUCGUGCUGAUUACGUCCCUGCGCUUUGUACACACCGCCCGUCGCUCCUACCGAUUGAGUGAUCCGGUGGAUAAUUCGGACUGCGGCAUUGACCGGUUCCCGAUCGUUGCUGCGGAAAGUUUAGUGAACCUUAUCACUUAGAGGAAGGAGAAGUCGUAACA